UGCACGUCGAACGGUGAAGGAGGAGCUUGCUCCUUUGGAUCAGUGGCGAACGGGUGAGUAACACGUGAGUAACCUGCCCCAGACUCUGGGAUAAGCACUGGAAACGGUGUCUAAUACCGGAUACGAGCUUCAGCCGCAUGGCUAGGAGCUGGAAAGAAUUUCGGUCUGGGAUGGACUCGCGGCCUAUCAGCUAGUUGGUGAGGUAAUGGCUCACCAAGGCGACGACGGGUAGCCGGCCUGAGAGGGUGACCGGCCACACUGGGACUGAGACACGGCCCAGACUCCUACGGGAGGCAGCAGUGGGGAAUAUUGCACAAUGGGCGCAAGCCUGAUGCAGCAACGCCGCGUGAGGGACGACGGCCUUCGGGUUGUAAACCUCUUUUAGUAGGGAAGAAGCGAAAGUGACGGUACCUGCAGAAAAAGCACCGGCUAACUACGUGCCAGCAGCCGCGGUAAUACGUAGGGUGCAAGCGUUAUCCGGAAUUAUUGGGCGUAAAGAGCUCGUAGGCGGUUUGUCGCGUCUGCUGUGAAAACUGGAGGCUCAACCUCCAGCCUGCAGUGGGUACGGGCAGACUAGAGUGCGGUAGGGGAGAUUGGAAUUCCUGGUGUAGCGGUGGAAUGCGCAGAUAUCAGGAGGAACACCGAUGGCGAAGGCAGAUCUCUGGGCCGUAACUGACGCUGAGGAGCGAAAGCAUGGGGAGCGAACAGGAUUAGAUACCCUGGUAGUCCAUGCCGUAAACGUUGGGAACUAGAUGUAGGGACCAUUCCACGGUUUCUGUGUCGCAGCUAACGCAUUAAGUUCCCCGCCUGGGGAGUACGGCCGCAAGGCUAAAACUCAAAGGAAUUGACGGGGGCCCGCACAAGCGGCGGAGCAUGCGGAUUAAUUCGAUGCAACGCGAAGAACCUUACCAAGGCUUGACAUAUACCGGAAAAGUUCAGAAAUGUUCUCCCCGCAAGGUCGGUAUACAGGUGGUGCAUGGUUGUCGUCAGCUCGUGUCGUGAGAUGUUGGGUUAAGUCCCGCAACGAGCGCAACCCUCGUUCUAUGUUGCCAGCACGUAAUGGUGGGAACUCAUAGGAGACUGCCGGGGUCAACUCGGA
rnacentral:rRNA from 1 species